UACGUAGGGUGCAAGCGUUAAUCGGAAUUACUGGGCGUAAAGCGUGCGCAGGCGGUUCUAUAAGACAGAUGUGAAAUCCCCGGGCUCAACCUGGGAACUGCAUUUGUGACUGUAGAGCUGGAGUACGGUAGAGGGGGAUGGAAUUCCGCGUGUAGCAGUGAAAUGCGCAGAUAUCGGGAAGAACACCCGUGGCGAAGGCGGCACUCUGGGACGGUACUGACGCUGAGACGCGAAAGCGUGGGGAGCGAACAGG
rnacentral:rRNA from 1 species